rnacentral:rRNA from 1 species
GUGGGGAAUUUUGGACAAUGGGGGCAACCCUGAUCCAGCCAUGCCGCGUGCGGGAAGAAGGCCUUCGGGUUGUAAACUGCUUUUGUACGGAACGAAACGGUCCUGGUUAAUACCUGGGGCUAAUGACGGUACCGUAAGAAUAAGCACCGGCUAACUACGUGCCAGCAGCCGCGGUAAUACGUAGGGUGCAAGCGUUAAUCGGAAUUACUGGGCGUAAAGCGUGCGCAGGCGGUUUUGUAAGACAGGCGUGAAAUCCCCGGGCUCAACCUGGGAAUUGCGCUUGUGACUGCAAGGCUGGAGUGCGGCAGAGGGGGAUGGAAUUCCGCGUGUAGCAGUGAAAUGCGUAGAUAUGCGGAGGAACACCGAUGGCGAAGGCAAUCCCCUGGGCCUGCACUGACGCUCAUGCACGAAAGCGUGGGGAGCAAACAGGAUUAGAAACCCCGGUAGUCC